UGGUAAUUAAAGUAUCGAUGAAAGUGUUGGAUAGGAUAACGAUGAAGGGCGCAAUGUACCGCGAAAAUUCGAAUCUACUGAAUUACAUCCCUUAAAAGAAAAUACCUCAAAAUCUACGUGCCUU
rnacentral:rRNA from 2 species